rnacentral:rRNA from 1 species
AAGGCUAAAUACUCCUGACUGACCGAUAGUGAACCAGUACCGUGAGGGAAAGGCGAAAAGAACCACGGCGAGGGGAGUGAAAAAGAACAUGAAACCGUGUACGUACAAGCAGUGGGAGCACCUUCGGGUGUGACUGCGUACCUUUUGUAUAAUGGGUCAGCGACUUAUAUUCUGUAGCAAGGUUAACCGUAUAGGGGAGCCGCAGGGAAACCGAGUCUUAACUGGGCGUUAAGUUGCAGGGUAUAGACCCGAAACCCGGUGAUCUAGCCAUGGGCAGGUUGAAGGUUGGGUAACACUAACUGGAGGACCGAACCGACUAAUGUUGAAAAAUUAGCGGAUGACUUGUGGCUGGGGGUGAAAGGCCAAUCAAACCGGGAGAUAGCUGGUUCUCCCCGAAAGCUAUUUAGGUAGCGCCUCGUGAAUUCAUCUUCGGGGGUAGAGCACUGUUUCGGCUAGGGGGUCAUCCCGACUUACCAACCCGAUGCAAACUACGAAUACCGAAGAAUGUUAUCACGGGAGACACACGGCGGGUGCUAACGUCCGUCGUGAAGAGGGAAACAACCCAGACCGCCAGCUAAGGUCCCAAAGUCAUGGUUAAGUGGGAAACGAUGUGGGAAGGCACAGACAGCCAGGAUGUUGGCUUAGAAGCAGCCAUCAUUUAAAGAAAGCGUAA